AUGCAAGUAGCUGGUCUAUUUUCCUCCACUUUAGCCAAAAAAAUUUUUUUCCGCCUGUUCCGUUCAUCUUUCCUUGUCCUUCGUACCCCGUCCGUCCGGUUCAUCUCUCUCUCUCGCUCGCUCUCAGCCUUCCUUCCCUGGCGGCAACGCCUGGGCGGACGAGCGCCGUCGCCCUGCCAGUUCUUCGUCGGUCCCUUCGCCUGUGAUUGGCGCCGCGUCUUCUUUGGAUUUCGGCCCUUUCGCGCUGGGGACUAGCGCCCACCAGGAGCAAGAUUGAAGCCUUGAAGGGCUAUAUAGGGUUGGGCACGGUUGACCUGAUCGACUGAAACUGAAAUGGCAUUGGUGGUGAAGCGGUACCGAUGUACGCACUCCGUGAGCUGUGCUUGCCUCAAGGGCCAUGUCAGGGAGGAUGCAAUGUAUCUCGUGUUUAAACACAUGAACUGGAACCCGAAGAUGAUUGCUAUCUUAUCAAGUGUAUGUAAGUGGUUCGAUGAAUUUGCCAAGAGGGUGCUCUGGAAGGAAUUCUGCCAUGCCAGGGCACCAAAGAUGAUGAAGGAUUUGCACUCUGACGGAAGUCAUAUCGUUGAUGGCAACUGGAAGGCCCUAGGGAAGCUUCUUAUCUAUUGCGCAGGGUGCCCUAGUGGAGACCUGUUCAGUAAUAUCCAUGACCCAGUCCCGGGGCACUUUGUCUACAGAACCCGUUUUUCUAGGACAUUGGGGAAGAGCUUACUGGCGCCACAGUGCAGGUCUGAUGCGUUGUAUGUCUCAGAGUCCUGUGAACAUCUUGACCAGGGCGAGGAAGGUGACUUGGGCCUCUUCCGGGGUAUCUUCAAGUCGUUUGCUGCGUCGAAGAUGAAGAAAAUGUUGAUUGAGAGGCAGGCAAACUUCCAUUUGAAUAAGAUGUGUCCUUAUUGUAAGACAAAGCUAUGGGACUUGAUGCAACCAAAUAUGAUACCAAGUAGUGCCGCCGUGAGAUUGGGUGCGGAAGAUGGUUCUGUUGAGUACUAUGUAUGCCUUAAUGGGCACAUCCUUGGUUCAUGCACUCUGAUACCCAUCUCUGAUUCUGAGGGCACAAAGGAAGAGUGAUCAAGACUUGAUUUAGGUUGCUGUGUGAAAUCCCGUGCUUGUUGACUAGGGCGUGAGCAGCGAUAAGGACGAGCCCUGUCGCCGCCGUUGUACUUAACUGUAAUUGUAGUGCCAGUGUUCUUCUAGCUGCCUUUCUUUGAGGGUGUGGGUUGACGGAUUCUCGUAGUUGCUUGUAGCAGUAGAAAAAGAAGAGGUUGCUGUAUCGUGGCUGCCUUUUAUUUAUGAAUACCUCAUUACAGGUAUGUUUGCAGAGCACCUGCAUAUUGCUUUGGUACCGAGUCGCAGGUUCGUGUUGUGGUCUGGUUACAGCACUGAUUGAGCUGCAGCGGGUCCAUGCAGUUGUAGCAUCAGGCGAGGCGAAGGAAGCAUGGAUGAUGGAUGGUGUGCGUGGCAGGUGAGUGAAAGAACUUCAAUUGGGCUAGCGGCCGCUUUAGGCCCAUUCCCAUGGAUCUUGGAUUUCUUUAUUAUGGGCUUGCAGCUGCUCCGUUGCCAGUUUGCAACUUGCUUC